AUUGAACGCUGGCGGAAUGCUUUACACAUGCAAGUCGAACGGUAACAGGUUAAGCUGACGAGUGGCGAACGGGUGAGUAAUACAUCGGAACGUGCCCAGUCGUGGGGGAUAACGUAGAGAAAUUUACGCUAAUACCGCAUACGAUCUAAGGAUGAAAGCGGGGGACCGUAAGGCCUCGCGCGAUUGGCGCGGCCGAUGUCAGAUUAGGUAGUUGGUGGGGGAAAGGCCUACCAAGCCCACGAUCUGUAGCUGGUCUGAGAGGACAAACAGCCACACUGGGACUGGGACCACGCCCAAACUCCUUCGGGAGGCAGCAGUUGGGAAUUUUGGACAAUUGGCGCCAACCUGGUCCCGCCAUUCCGCGUGGAGGAUGAAGGCCCUCGGGUUGUAAACUGCUUUUUUUCAAAAAGAAAAGGUUUGGGUUAAUACCCUGGGGUCAUGAAGGUACUGUAAGAAUAAGGACCGGCUAACUACGUGCCAGCAGCCGCCGUAAGAC
rnacentral:rRNA from 1 species